UUCUGCAUCACACUAGUUACCCCCCCUCCCCAAUAUGCGCACACAAUAACAACACAUGACACUUGUCUGGGGGGAGAGCGCCGCCUGGUUCAGGCGCCGCAUAUUUUCGAAAGUACAAAGACAGGGAAGUUUAUUUCACGCACAUUUAAAUAUCUAAAGCCAUCAAAACUGCGAGCCUUUCAUGUAGUAGAUCUUUCAAAUUUCCCAUCUACCAUGUCGUUUGAAGAGUAUCAGGAAUUCCAGCAUUCGCAGCUUCCGUCGCCCCUCCUGCUCUGAGGGAACGUAAACCAAAACAUGAAACGUCCUGUACCACAGUCUUCCACAAAUCUACUCUCCCUGGCUCUAGUGUGACUUAACCCUCCAGAUGUCCUUAUGUUCCAGCCAUUCUUGCAUUUACAGAGACCUCUGAAAAUAUAAAAAUCAUAAAUCAAGUCAACUUCACCUAGUAGUCUGCAGUACUAAAUGUUCUCAGGAACAGGACACGUUGUUUUGUUUAAUCUUGUUAUCCUAUCUCCAUUGUUCAGUCUUGCUAGACUAAAAAAUUGUUACAUGAUAUCUGAAAAGGUGCGUAAUGUCUUGACAAUCUUGGAUGUCUCGCUAUAUCUGAAAAAUCAUGCAUAACAGAUCAAUAUCAAAGUUAAUAUGCGCAUUGUAUUCAAGUCUUCCUUGUCUCCAUGCAAGGUCAUCAACUUAUUCAGGAGUUCUGUUGUGAUUACUUCUUUCUUCACCUUCUUUCCUAGUAAACGUUUGGCUGCUCCUAAAACAUUUCAAACAACUUAAAUGUCAGUGAAGGAUUCUAAGCCUGCUUGUACAUGCGCCCAUCGAAUUCCGUAGAAAGCCUUUUCUACUGCUGCUAGGUAUGAAGUUUCUUGCAUCACCUCCAACAAGUACAAUGCAACAUACAAAGAGUGUGUAAACACAAGUACUUCUGAAAAUUUCUUUGCAAAAGUUCUCCACCUACUAAAUGCAAGGCUAAGUUGGUCAACAGUUCCAGGUGCUCUAUCUGACAUCACCACAGAGGCACAGACGUCACUUAGUCUGCCAGCGACUUCAAGUGCGGAUGUUCUACAUUCUUCAAUUAUUUCCAAAAUCCUUCUUUCAGCACAUCUGAAAAAGAAUAAAACAAUAUCUUAAAUGUAUAUCAAACUGAUAUUUCUUUUUCACUUCAUUUUAUCUGAUUUACAUGUUGAAAACAUCAUGGCAUUAAAUAUAUCUACCAUUUACUUUCACUUGCCAACCUUUUCAACCAACUGUGAGAUCCUUCUUCUCACAAUAUAGUCAAGAGACUUCAAUGUAACGUCUUCCUACCAUUGCCUAUCAACUCAGGCUGGUAACGUAGCCAAGUGCGCGCCUUCAAUAUUACACUUUCCUACCAUUGCAUAUCAACUCAGGCUGGUAACGUGUUCAAAUGCCUUAAUAUUACUUCUUCCCACCAUUGCCUAUUAAUUCAGGCUGGUAACGUGGCCAAGUGCCUUCAAUGUUACCUUUCCUACCAUUGCCUAUCAAUUCAGGCUGGUAACUUGGCCAAGUGCCUUCAUUGUUACCUUUCCUACCAUUGCCUAUCAACUCAGGCUGGUAACGUGGCCAAGUGCCUUCAAUGUUACCUUUCCCACCAUUGCCUAUCAAUUCAGGCUGGUAACGUGGCCAAGUGCCUUCAUUGUUACCUUUCCUACCAUUGCCUAUCAACUCAGGCUGGUAACGUGGCCAAGUGCCUUCAAUGUUACCUUUCCCACCAUUGCCUAUCAAUUCAGGCUGGUAACGUGGCCAAGUGCC